AGAUGAAUGGAGCAAAGUUCAGAGCGGUCCUUGAUGAAAACUUGCUCCAGAGUGCUCAGGACCUCAGACUAGGGCAAAGGUUGUCAGGGGACAAUUACAUAUUUACCUGAUGUGUUUGAUAUUAAUAGUAAACAAUUAUAUAUUUAACUAAGAGUAAGACUGGCCUGCUAAUGCUAAGUAUUUAUGGUGUCCACUCUAGCUUCAUUGUUAGGGAAGCUCUCAGCUUCACAACUUAGAGUUUGCGGUCGACAGUUUCAUUAUUGCAAUAAUUAAUUGAUGAUUGUUUGAAUAAUUGUCCAAGUCUCUCUCAGUAAUGAAAUUAUCACUAGAUGGUUCACCUUCCAACAGGACAAAGGCCCUAAGCACACCGCCAAGACAAUGCAGGAGUGGCUUCGGGACAAGUCUCUGAAUGUCCUUGAGUGGCCCAGCCAGAGCCUGGACUUGAACCCGAUCAAACAUCUCUGGAGAGACCUGAAAAUAGCUGUGCAGUGACACUCCCCAUCCAACCUGACAGAGCUUGAGAGGAUCUGCAGAGAAGAAUGGGAGAAACGCCCCAAAUACAGGUGUGCCAAGCUUGUAACAUCAUGCCCAAGAAGACUCGAGAGCCAAAGGUACUUCAACAAAGUACUGAGUAAAGGGUCUGAAUACUUAAGUAAAUGUGAUAUAUCAUUAGUUUUUUUUAUAUAUAUUUGCACAAAUGUCUACAAACUUGUUUUUGCUUCGUCAUUAUGGGGUGUAGAUUGAUGAGGAUAUUUUUUUGUCAUCCAUUUUAGAAUAAGUAGAGGGGUCUUAAUAUCUGAAUGCAAUGCAGUUACAACAAUGAUAUCAACAUCGCCCCCUCUCUGUCAGAAGCACACACUGCACUGACUGGUAUGUCCAGCCCACUACCAGUAAAGGGCUGUUAAUGAUAAACACAGCAAGAGGUCAUCACCCCCUCUGUGUGUGUGCGUGUGUGUGUCAACAUUUGUCCAGAAAGAGGAAGCACAGAGAAAGUGAAGGUCGGACACAAGACAGAGGGAAAGAUAAAUCGAGGGAGGAGUGGGUCAUUUUUUUCCUUGUCGAUGGACAUCAGUUCUGGUAUUACACUAGACAUAAUCAUUUAGCAGGGAUCAAGGCAAAAUUAAUCAGAUUACACUAGCAUUGUGAUAAGAACCUUGUGGGACAGACACAGCAGAAGGAAGAAGUAGAGAACGGUGUUGGGAGUGUUUUGGGGACAGUGCUAGAAUGACUGGGGUGUGGCAGUGUGUUACCAUGCUAAUGGUGGUGUGUGUGUGUCUAUGGGGGUCGGCGGAGGCGAUUGGGGGAGCAAAGAGCCGACCACGACCCCAGAGGAGACCUCCCAAGAAGCCCAAGGUGAACCCCAUUGACGACACCCCACCAGCUCAGAACAUUGACAUACAACAGAUGGGAGGGCCGUGGUACCUGAUCAACGCAGCGUCUAAGUGUAACUUCCUGAUGAAGAACGGUCUGAAGGUGGAGGCUACUGUGAUGACCCUGACGCCCCCAUCCUCCAAAGACACCACUCUCUCUGUUAGUACUACCACACGCCUUAACCACCAGUGUUGGGAGAUCCUGCAGGCGUACACCAUCACCCCCACCCCAGGACGCCUUGUACUCAAUGGUAAGAGUCCUGUCACACACAGAGACAUGGCUUACAGCCCUGUUGACUGCUAUAGACACCCUUCUUCACUCUGCCUUCUCCUCCUCCACCCGGCAGUCUCCUCCAACUAUAUCUCUGAGAGCACUGCUGUCUCUUUAAAAUUGCAGCUGGAACCCCGUGUCCCCAACAUUCCACUGCUCUAAACUGAUUGGCUUUUCAUUCAGAGUAUGCAAAUAUGAUAGGUGAGAAUUGUCUUCUAAUUGAAUGAUUAGAAUUUUCCGCCCUGAAACAUAUAAUUGUAUGGAAUUGAUUAGAAUGUAUAAAAUCAUAAUCAAUAAAUGUGUGGUCCUAGUUCAGAACAAGAACAAGGUCACAAAGCUCUGGCGGUUGGGUAGCACUGCCCACUCAAAAUCACACGUUAUAGUCUGGGAAUAAUCACUGUGAUAUAUUUACUAUGUGUGUUUCAAAGGAACACCAGAGGAGAAUUCAUGUUCAUAUUCAAAUGACAUUAGUUGAGAAUGAGGUGCAAAUUUGAUCUUGUGUCAAAGUUAUUGAUAUUACUGUGUUGUUAUUGUUAACUAUUAUUGUUUUCCAUGUAGGUAGUAGACCGUUGCUGAACACUGAUAUAGUGAUUGGAGAGUCAGACUAUAGCUCCUACGCUGUGUUUUACUACCAGAAACAGGGACAGCUCACCAUGAAGCUCUACGGUCAGUCUGCGGCCUGCAUGCUGACAACCUGAUUGAUACCCUGUACUAACAACAUGCAAGCCAACACUAUGGGACAAUAUAUCGGUUUGAAGCCAGGUCUUCUGAGCACGACAAAGACUCUGUUAGCCAGCAGAGCUAAAGCCUAGGCAUUACUUCUGGGAGAUAUGGUUCACCAAACCACAUUCAGUAAACCAUUACAGAAACAUUCAUGUUGAAGUCACUGAGAAUGUUUCAAGGAGGCUGUUGUGUUUUCUCUACAGGCAGAUCCAAGGACACCCUUUCAGAAGCCAUCUUGGAUAAAUUUGAGGACCUGGCUGAGAAAAGGGGCCUGGGAUUGGCCUAUGUGUUUGCCUUCCCCAACUACAGUCACUGCGAGUCUGUGGACAAGGACCAUGUGAUCAACUGCGUGCCAAUAUGUUGAGGAAGAUUCCAAGACCCUGUAUUCUGACUGCUCAGCAAUACAUGGCAUAUUAAAAUGAUCGAAUUGCUUA